UGGACCCACCUGAACCCAUGCCGAACUCAGAAGUGAAACACAAUAGCGCCGAUGGUAGUGUGGGGUCUCCCCAUGUGAGAGUAGGACAUCGCCAGGC
rnacentral:rRNA from 1 species